rnacentral:rRNA from 1 species
GUGCAGCAGUCGCGAAACCUCCGCAAUGCGGGAAACCGCGACGGGGGACCCCGGACGUGCCGUGGCAAUGCUACGGCUUUUCCGGUAGUGUGAAAAGCUCCGGGGAUAAGGGCUGGGCAAGGCCGGUGGCAGCCGCCGCGGUAAUACCGGCGGCCCGAGUGGUGGCCGCUAUUAUUGGGCCUAAAGCGUCCGUAGCCGGGCCCGUAAGUCCCUGGCGAAAUCCCACGGCUCAACCGUGGGGCUUGCUGGGGAUACUGCGGGUCUUGGGACCGGGAGAGGCGAGGGGUACCCCUGGAGUAGGGGUGAAAUCCUAUAAUCCCAGGGGACCGCCAGUGGCGAAGGCGCCCCGCUGGAACGGGUCCGACGGUGAGGGACGAAGGCCAGGGGAGCAAACCGGAUUAGAUA